AAGUUCCGACCUGCACGGAAUGGUAUACGAUCUGGAUACUGUCUCAGCUAAGCGCUCGGUGAAAUUGUAGUCUCGGUGAAGAUGCCGAGUACCCGCAACGGGACGGAAAGACCCCCGUGCACCUUUACUGCAACUUUGUAUUGAUUUCGGAUAAAUGAUGCGUAGCAUAGGUGGGAGACUUCGAAGCCCUGAUUCUGGUUGGGGCUGAGUCACCAGUGAAAUACCACCCUUCGUUUAUUUGAGAUCUAACUCCUGAACAACAGGAGGACAGUGCAUGGUGGGUAGUUUGACUGGGGUGGUACGCCUCCAAAAGAGUAUCGGAGGCUCCCAAAGGUACCCUCAGCACGCUUGGUAACCGUGCGCAGAGUGUAAUGGCACAAGGGUGCUUAACUGUGAGGCCUACAAGCCGAGCAGAGACGAAAGUCGGGCAUAGUGAUCCGGUGGUUCCGCAUGGAAGGGCCAUCGCUCAUAGGAUAAAAGGUACGCCGGG
rnacentral:rRNA from 1 species